rnacentral:rRNA from 1 species
AACGUAGGAGACAACCGUUAUCCGGAAUCACUGGGCGUAAAGCGUCUGUAGGUGGUUUAAUAAGUCAACUGUUAAAUCUUGAGGCUCAACCUCAAAAUCGCAGUCGAAACUAUUAGGCUAGAGUAUAGUAGGGGUAAAGGGAAUUUCCAGUGGAGCGGUGAAAUGCGUAGAGAUUGGAAAGAACACCGAUGGCGAAGGCACUUUACUGGGCUAUUACUAACACUCAGAGACGAAAGCUAGGGUAGCAAAUGGG